UACAGAGGGUGCAAGCGUUGUUCGGAAUUAUUGGGCGUAAAGGGUGCGUAGGCGGUGCGGUAAGUCUGUAGUGAAAUCUCUGGGCUCAACUCAGAGUCUGCUAUAGAAACUGCCGUGCUCGAGUAUGGGAGAGGUGAGUGGAAUUCCCGGUGUAGCGGUGAAAUGCGCAGAUAUCAGGAGGAACACCGGUGGCGAAGGCGGGUCUCUGGGCCGAUACUGACGCUGAGGAGCGAAAGCGUGGGGAGCAAACAGG
rnacentral:rRNA from 1 species